rnacentral:tmRNA from 1 species
GGGGACGUUUAGGAUUCGACAGGGAUAGGUCGUGCUUAUGUUGCGAGUCGAGGGGGUCGGCCUCGUUAAAACGCCAAAGCCUAUAACUGGCAAAGAAAACAACAACUUCGCAGUAGCUGCCUAAUAGCACUCUGCGGUUCCACCCUCCAUCGCCCAUGUGGUAGGUACUGGAACUCACUCUAAGUGGGCUACGCCGGCUGCUCUCCGUCUGUGAGCGAAGGAAGAGAUUGAUCAGACUAGCCGUUCGGACGCCUGUUACUGGGCAGAAGAAUUGGCGAAAUGCUAAUACAGUAACUACACUCGUAGAAGCAUAAGUGUCGUUGUUUCUGGACGUGGGUUCGAUUAUGGAAAUAGUCGCCUCAUGUGGUGACGCAUGAGUGAUAACUUGGCUUUAUCGGUGAAGUCUACGUCAUGACGAAUACGUUAUGAUAAGGUGAUGCCGAGCGGUAUGUGGAGCAAUCCAACAGCCGUGUAUCGACUUAUAGGCUGCCUACAAGGUAGUACUAGGAUGGAGCAUUCUGCAAUAGAUUGCACAAAAUACAUGUUCCAUAAUACGCCAAGGGACUUGUUGAUCAAGUUCAAGAUAUAGUCAGUGCCAUUGCGAAAGCAUGGAAUUACAUGUCCCACCGUCUCCACCA